rnacentral:rRNA from 1 species
CGCCUGGGGAGUACGGGUGAGGUAACGGCUCACCAAGGCAUCGACGGGUAGCUGGUCUGAGAGGAUGAUCAGCCACACUGGGACUGAGACACGGCCCAGACUCCUACGGGAGGCAGCAGUGGGGAAUAUUGCACAAUGGGCGAAAGCCUGAUGCAGCAACGCCGCGUGCGGGAUGAAGGCCCUAGGGUUGAAAACCGCUUUCUGCAGGGAAGAGAAUGACGGUACCUGCAGAAGAAGGUGCGGCCAACUACGUGCCAGCAGCCGCGGUGACACGUAGGCACCAAGCGUUGUCCGGAUUUAUUGGGCGUAAAGAGCUCGUAGGCGGUUCAGUUAGUCGGGUGUGAAAACUCUGGGCUCAACCCAGAGACGCCACUCGAUACUGCUGUGACUAGAGUGCGGUAGGGGAGCGGGGAAUUCCUAGUGUAGCGGUGAAAUGCGCAGAUAUUAGGAGGAACACCAGUGGCGAAGGCGCCGCUCUGGGCCGUAACUGACGCUGAGGAGCGAAAGCGUGGGUAGCAAACAGGAUUAGAUACCCUGGUAGUCCACGCCGUAAACGUUGGGCACUAGGUGUGGGUCUCAACCAACGAGAUCCGCGCCGUCGCUAACGCAUUAAGUGCCCCGCCUGGGGAGUACGG